rnacentral:rRNA from 1 species
GAUGAACGCUAGCGAUAGGCUUAACACAUGCAAGUCGAGGGGCAGCACAAGGUAGCUUGCUCUCUGGGUGGCGACCGGCGCACGGGUGCGUAACGCGUAUGCAACUUGCCCUAUACAGGAGGAUAACCCGUCGAAAGACGGACUAAUACUGCGUAUGCUCACAACUUGGCAUCAAGUGGUGAGGAAAGAAAUUCGGUAUAGGAUAGGCAUGCGUCCCAUUAGCUUGUUGGUGAGGUAACGGCUCACCAAGGCAACGAUGGGUAGGGGAACUGAGAGGUUUAUCCCCCACACUGGUACUGAGACACGGACCAGACUCCUACGGGAGGCAGCAGUGAGGAAUAUGGGUCAAUGGGCGCGAGCCUGAGCCAGCCAAGUCGCGUGAAGGAUGACUGUCUUAUGGAUUGUAAACUUCUUUUAUACGGGAAUAACAAGAGUCACGGGUGACUCCCUGCAUGUACCGUAUGAAUAAGCAUCGGCUAACUCCGUG